rnacentral:rRNA from 1 species
GACGAACCGUGCGAACGUUAUUCGGAAUCACUGGGCUUAAAGCGCGUGUAGGCGGGACGGCACGUCGGCCGCUGAAAGCCCCCGGCUCAACCGGGGAACGGGCGCCGAUACGACCGUCCUGGAGGGACGUAGGGGGACCUGGAACUUCCGGUGGAGCGGUGAAAUGCGUUGAGAUCGGAAGGAACGCCCGUGGCGAAAGCGAGGUCCUGGACGUUUUCUGACGCUGAGACGCGAAAGCCAGGGGAGCGAACGGG